rfam:TPA: Bos taurus chromosome 11, whole genome shotgun sequence.
UCCCUAAUGGCUCAGAUGGUAAAGAAACUGCCUUCAGUGCAGAAGCCUCAGGUUCGAUCCCUGGGUUGGGAA